ACUGAGGUAUGAAUUUAAGUUAAAUUAAGCUAGUUUCGCGGACGAAACUAAAUAUAAGGGGUGGAGAAUGUAACGUAUCGAAACCCGAAAACGAUAAUCGAACUUUAAUCAAAUUGGUUAAAGUGUCGAGAGAAAUGGAUUGGUGAGUUCCAUUGUUGCAUUCCAACAAGGUUGGAAGGGCAAAAAUGGGUUUAAGAAGUGUUGGAAUGGUUUUGGCAUCGAACAGCGCGAAGUAGAGUCGAAACGAUGCAAAAACAGCA
rnacentral:lncRNA from 1 species